rnacentral:rRNA from 1 species
GACAGAGGGUGCAAGCGUUGUUCGGAAUUACUGGGCAUAAAGCGCACGUAGGCGGUUCGCUAAGUCUGUCGUGAAAUCCCCCGGCUCAACCGGGGAAUAGCGUCGGAUACUGGCGAGCUCGAGGUCGAUAGGGGUAAGUGGAACUCCAGGUGGAGCGGUGAAAUGCGUAGAUAUCUGGAGGAAUACCAAAGGCGAAGGCAGUGUCCUGGCUGGCAUCUGACGCUGAGGCGCGAAAGCUAGGGGAGCGAACAGG